rnacentral:lncRNA from 1 species
UAUGACGAAAAUGGAGCAGCUCGCUGGGACUUAAUUUCCAAUUUGAGAAUUCAACAAAUAGAGAUGUCAACAAGUUUCAAGAUGUUUCUUGAUAAUUGGAAUAUUCAGACAGCUCUUUGGCUCAAAAGGGUGUGUUAUGAACGAACCUCCUUCAGUCCAACUAUCCAGACGUUCAUUCUCUCUGCCAUUUGGCACGGGGUAUACCCAGGAUAUUAUCUAACGUUUCUAACAGGGGUGUUAAUGACAUUAGCAGCAAGAGCUGUAAGUAUCAAGAAUUUUAUUUUACAAUUCAAUGGUCCACUUGAACUGUUAAAAAGGCUGAGUACAUCUCUCUUACAAGGUAGACCCUCUUUCCUUGGUCGUGGUCAGUAUUGUCCUUUCCACUAGAAGCGAGGUGUGUACUGCGUGCAUGUUUGCUGAGCGCUCACCACGGGCUAGGCUCCAUGCCCAGUUCCUGUGAGGAGAAAACACGUUUCUAUGUGCCCGGCAGGUAGGAGGCACUCACAAAAUGUUACUUUGUCUUUA